UGAAUGUUUGCAGUCCUUAAGAUGAAACUCUGCAGGUGGGCUCACUGUGGAGAGGUCAGUUUUUAGGCCUAAAGGGACAAUAAAUGUUAGUUUUUGAACUUAGUAUUUCCCAUGUGAAAUUGUUUUCCUUGCUGUUCACUAGUCAGUAAGAAAAGGGUCAUCAGGUUUUUUUGCGUAGGAAAUAAGUUUACAAUUAAUUUUAACACUUUACAUUUAGGGUCCAGUCUUCCAAAAGAAUCUGCCUUGGUGGACCAUUAUGUCUUCAGAGUCUUCCUGAAGUCCAUGGUGUAUCUUUUGAUAGAGUGUCAGAUAUCAACUUUACCCUCAAUACAAAUGAAAGUGGGAAUAUUGCAUUGUUUGAGGCAUGCUGUAAGGAGAGAAUACAGCAGUUUGAUGAUGGUGGUUCUGAUGAAGAAGAUAUAUGGGAAGAAAAACACAUUGCGUUUACACCAGAAUCCCAGAGACGAUCCAGCUCGGGCAGUACAGACAGUGAAGAAAGUACAGACUCUGAGGAAGAGGAUGGAACAAAACAAGACUUGUCUGAAUCAAAUACCAAUACAGAAGACAAAAUGGAAUUGGACUUAAAUGAACGUAGGUGUUUUUUAUCUUAUUGCCUCCAUCUGCGUAGAUUACCUGAUGGAGGAAUUAGAUUGCAAGUU
rnacentral:lncRNA from 1 species